rnacentral:rRNA from 1 species
GCUGGCUGCUAGCUCUCUGCAACUCUCACAUGGUCGCCCCACUGAAGCUAAGCAGGGCUGCUUCCGGUCAGUACCUGGAUGGGAGACCACAUGCAAAAUCUUGGUUGCUGCUGGAA